rnacentral:lncRNA from 1 species
CUCUAAAAUCGGCGUAAUCUCUGGUUUGCAUUUCAUUAUUGCUGUUUACAUUACUGCAAACCUUCUUACAUGCUUUAGUUCCUUAUUACCGUUGCUGCGCAACUUCAAGAAUACGCUUUCAAGUUAAGUCUUUCAAGUUUCGUUCUUAUCAUAUGAAAGAUUUUUCUAAAACCGAAGUUUUAAUCCGCUGCACUAAUUCACCC